ACGCUGGCGGCGCGCCUAACACAUGCAAGUCGAACGAGAGAUGAGGAGCUUGCUCUUCAGAUCGAGUGGCGAACGGGUGAGUAACGCGUGAGGAACCUGCCUCAAAGAGGGGGGACAACAGUUGGAAACGACUGCUAAUACCGCAUAAGCCCACGACCCGGCAUCGGGUAGAGGGAAAAGGAGCAAUCCGCUUUGAGAUGGCCUCGCGUCCGAUUAGCUAGUUGGUGAGGUAAUGGCCCACCAAGGCGACGAUCGGUAGCCGGACUGAGAGGUUGAACGGCCACAUUGGGACUGAGACACGGCCCAGACUCCUACGGGAGGCAGCAGUGGGGAAUAUUGCACAAUGGGGGAAACCCUGAUGCAGCGACGCCGCGUGGAGGAAGAAGGUCUUCGGAUUGUAAACUCCUGUUGUUGAGGAAGAUAAUGACGGUACUCAACAAGGAAGUGACGGCUAACUACGUG
rnacentral:rRNA from 1 species